UUUAUAAUUGUGUUUUUGCUCAGAAGAUCGCUAAAAGUGUAGAGUCCAGAUACCUCCGGCGGGCUGGGUCGGCCCCGCCCUGGGGCCGCCCGCCGAAGCAACUGCAGGUAGCGUUCACAUGGGGUUUUAUAGAGGCGCGGAGCCCUAUAACUCGUAAUGAUCCCUCCGCUGGUUCACCAACGGAGA
rnacentral:misc_RNA from 1 species